GACGAACGCUGGCGGCGUGCUUAACACAUGCAAGUCGAACGGAAAGGCCUGCUUUCCCUUGUGGAUUGCGGGUACUCGAGUGGCGAACGGGUGAGUAACACGUGAGUGAUCUGCCCCCAACUUGGGUAUAAGCCUGGGAAACUGGGUCUAAUUCCCGAUAGGACUGCAGGGUGGUGCCUGUGGUGGAAAACGAUUUUCAAGUGGUUGGGGAUGAGCUCGCGGCCUAUCAGCUUGUUGGUGGGGUAAUGGCCUACCAAGGCGGCGACGGGUAGCCGGCCUGAGAGGGUGGACGGCCACAUUGGGACUGAGAUACGGCCCAGACUCCUACGGGAGGCAGCAGUGGGGAAUAUUACACAAUGGGCGGAAGCCUGAUGCAGCGACGCCGCGUGGGGGAUGACGGCCUUCGGGUUGUAAACUCCUUUCGACCGCGAGGAAGCCACCUGGUUGGAAGGGUGGUGACGGUAGUGGUAGAAGAAGCACCGGCUAACUACGUG
rnacentral:rRNA from 1 species